rnacentral:RNase_P_RNA from 1 species
UGGGGCAAUCGGAUAGCCGCUCCAGGCGAGAGGAAAGUCCGGGCUUCACAGGGCAGGAUGCUUCCUAACGGGAAGUCCCGCGCCGCAAGGUGCGGGAGGAAAGUGCCACAGAAAACAUACCGCCCCGCACCAAAAGUGCGGGGUAAGGGUGAAAAGGCGAGGUAAGAGCUCACCGCCCUGAUGGCGACAUCAGGGGCACGGCAAACCCCAUCCGAAGCAAAACCAAGCAGCUCUGGUCGAGGUGGCCCGCCUCUUCGGGCCGUGAGUAACGGCCCGAACCGGAGCGGGUAGGUUGCACAGAACCCAGCAGUGAUGCUGGGACAAGAGAAAUGGCUAUCGAUAACAGAACCCGGCUUAUAGAUUGCCCCACAUU